rnacentral:rRNA from 1 species
UAACGCGAAGAACCUUACCAGGUCUUGACAUACUAUGCAAAUCUAAGAGAUUAGACGUUCCCUUCGGGGACAUGGGUACAGGUGGUGCAUGGUUGUCGUCAGCUCGUGUCGUGAGAUGUUGGGUUAAGUCCCGCAACGAGUGCAACCCUUAUUAUCAGUUGCCAGCAUUAAGUUGGGCACUCUGGUGAGACUGCCGGUGACAAACCGGAGGAAGGUGGGGAUGACGUCAAAUCAUCAUGCCCCUUAUGACCUGGGCUACACACGUGCUACAAUGGAUGGUACAACGAGUUGCGAACUCGCGAGAGUAAGCUAAUCUCUUAAAGCCAUUCUCAGUUCGGAUUGUAGGCUGCAACUCGCCUACAUGAAGUCGGAAUCGCUAGUAAUCGCGGAUCAGC